GGCCUCGUAGCUUAGUCAGUUUGAGCGUUGGUUUUACCAAAGCCUUCCCCUUGUUGGUGUGGGUUCGAAUCCCACCGAGGUGG
rnacentral:tRNA from 1 species